rnacentral:lncRNA from 1 species
UACUCCUGUACGCCCCGCGUACCCGAGAAGCUCGGCCUCAAACCGUCCACGUCGCACGAUCCGGAGAACCCGACCCGCUGUCCCAUCCGACCCGCGUGCCAGCGACCCGUCCCAUCCGACCCGCGAACCCAGGGACCCGUCCCAUCCGAGGCCGAGGCAGUCGAGGCUCGGUCAUGCGUGACGUACGCGUACGCGCUGCGUACUAGCGUACGCCCCGCGUACGGAGGCAGACCAGCCUCACUAUAAAUAGGCUACGGGGGUUUCCAAAGAAAGGGCUCAUUUCUCUCCUCUCUCUCACAACCUUGCCUCGUUUUCCGUGUCCGUUCAAACCCGAAGCUCUGGUCUUUUUGGCUCAAGUCCCGAAGGUCGAUUUUACUCCCGAGAUUCCCGAGAAUCCCGAGGAAAAUCCGUUUCCCGAGACGAAACUUUUCCCGGUUUUUCACCUCGCUAUCUCCAAAACUUUCAAGUGAGUUUCAUACCCCUUAAUCAACCGUUUUAAUUAUUCUAAAUACUUUUAUAUGCUUUCAAAGGGGGGGAUUACAAGUAAAACACACGAGUAUUAUCGUGUGUUAUAUAAAGAAACUCUUUUACAUAUUGUUAAAUAUUCAAAUCACAUGCGAUUUAUAAACCUUUAAAGGAACUUUUAAUUAUAUAAAUAUAUAUCAUAUGUUACAAUAGCAUUCGAUCUUUUAAAAUAUAAAGUUGUUGUAAUGCAGGUAUAAAACUAAACUGUUCUUAAAUUAUUCUUUUCUAUCGUAGACUCUACACCAAAAAUCUAUGCUUUCAUAAACAAAUGAUUCUUUUCCUAAGUAUUUCUAAAAAAACAAACAAGGCACACUUUGUAAAACUAUAAUAGGUAUAGUUUUACGAACAGAUUUCUAACUCUUNNNNNNNNNNNNNNNNNNNNNNNNNNNNNNNNNNNNNNNNNNNNNNNNNNNNNNNNNNNNNNNNNNNNNNNNNNNNNNNNNNNNNNNNNNNNNNNNNNNNAAGAUGGCAAGGACCCGUAGCGGAAACAUGAAUGCAAAUAGGAACAGAAACCAACCCCCAGUAAUUGAACAGAUACCCGUUGUGGAAGCCACUGCCGGACCAGUAACAAUGGCCGGAGUGCAAGCGAUGAUCCAAGCGAUGUUGGAUCGUCAAAUGGAAGAAACUAGACGUUUGCUCCAGCAAAAUCGAGAGGAAGAGACUAUUCAAAUCGAACAGCCCGGGUUGAACGAAGGGCAGACUGAGGAAGGAGACUACAGUGGAACUGUUGGUCAAGUCAACCCACCAAUAGUCCCACAAAACAACCAAGAUGACGAAGUCGCGAGGAAUGGAUGCAAGUACAAGGAUUUUCUGACUUGCAAGCCAACGAAUUUCACGGGAAAGGAAGAUCUAAUCGGGGUCAUGGAUUGGAUCUCAGAGAUGGAGUUAGCUUUCAUGAUGUGCGGUUGCAGAGGAAAGCUACAGACCACGUUUGCAGUGCGUCAAUUUUGAGGAGGCGCUGUACAUUGGUGGAAUACCUUGGGGAAGACUUUAAGCCCCAACAAGCCCCUGCAACUGACAUGGGCAGAAUUUCUGGUGCAAUUCAAACGAAAGUACUGCUCAGCCCAAAACCUGUUAGAGUUAGAGAACCAGUUUCUAACCCUGAAGAAGGGAAGCAUGUCAAUCGAUGAAUACACGAACAACUUCACAGAAAAGAUGGAGUUUGCCUUGCGUCUUGUUCCGGAUGAGCUAACAAAAAUUGAUAAGUACGCAAAGGGACUUCCAUGGGAGUACGCGGUGCCAGUGCGUCAGACACCUACUUUGGAAGCAGCUAUCUGGGCUGCCAAGUCCGUGGAGGACAUGAUUAAGGGAAGAGCUGCCAGCAAAAUCGAGGUUGGUGAGAAACGGAAGUUCGAUGGAUACUCGAAGUCCAACAAGAAGAGUAGAUUCUCGAAAUCUGGUUCGAGAGGAGGAGGAUCAGAAGCAAAGUGGUGUGACAAGUGCAAGAAGAAGCACUCUGGGAAGUAUGAUGGAGGGGUCACUUGUUACAAAUGCGGAAAGCCUGGGCACUAUACCAGUGAAUGCACCCUCAACCAGAAGGCCUGUUAUGGGUGUAAUGAAGAAGGGCACAUUUUGAAGGACUGCCCGAAGAAGAAGGAGGCAGGAAGACCCAACAUACCACCAAAGCCGAAGGCGAGAGCCUUCCAGAUGACGCUCGAGGCUGCAAAGGAGGCAGCAGACGUCGCUUCAGGUACCUUUCUUGUAAAUGGUUUGCCUGCAAAUAUACUAUUUGAUUCCGGAGCCAACUACUCCUUUGUGUCGCAUAAAUUUGGUGGGAAAUUAGCAUUGCCUGUAGAAAAACUAGAUAAUGCCCUGAUUGUAGAAGUUGCCAGUGGCAAAUUCGUACCUGUUAGUAAUCGUAUUAGGAACAUCGUCAUUGACCUAAACGGAAACGAAUUCCAUGAAGAACUAUUACACAUAAAGCUAAACGGUUUCGCAUCGUUUUGGGUAUGGAUUGGCUUAGCGCCAACGAUGCUGAGAUUCAAUGCCGAAAGAAGAUAGUAAAGGUAAACCCACCCGGAAAAGAAUCAUUUAUGGUGUAUGGGGACAAACGCAGAGUGAAUUCUGGAAUCAUCUCCCUGAUGAAAGCCAGGAAAUGUUUGUCCAAAGGAUGUGCAUCAUACUUGGCAUUCGUAAUCGAUGCCAAGAAGGAGAAGAAAGAGGUGCAGAAUAUACCGGUUGUGUGUGAUUAUCCGGAAGUCUUUCCCGAAGAUCUUCCCGGAUUACCACCUGAUAGGCAAGUGGAGUUUCGUAUAGACUUGUUACCAGGAACAACACCGAUAGCAAAGGCACCUUACCGAUUAGCACCGACGGAGAUGAAGGAGCUCAUGACGCAACUUCAGGAGCUGUUGGACAACGGUUUUAUUCGACCUAGUUCAUCACCCUGGGGAGCUCCGGUGUUAUUCGUGAAGAAGAAGGACGGAAGUAUGAGAAUGUGUAUAGACUACCGAGAGCUGAAUAAGGCAACGGUGAAGAACAAGUAUCCAUUGCCGAGGAUUGAUGACCUAUUCGAUCAGCUGCAAGGUUCGAGCUACUUCUCAAAUAUCGAUCUUAGGUCAGGAUAUCAUCAGCUGAAGGUGAGAGAGCAGGAUAUUGAGAAGACUGCAUUCAGAACAAGAUAUGGACACUAUGAGUUCUUGGUUAUGUCAUUUGGGCUAACCAAUGCUCCUGCAACCUUCAUGGAUUUGAUGAACAGGGUUUGUAAACCAUUCCUCGAUAAAUCUGUGAUAGUGUUCAUCGAUGACAUUCUCAUCUACUCAAAUAGCCAGGAGGAGCAUGGGAAGCAUCUACAAGAAGUGUUGGAGGUGUUAAAGAAGGAGAAGCUUUUUGCAAAGUUCUCCAAAUGCGACUUUUGGAUACGGGAAGUCCAAUUUUUGGGCCAUGUUGUUAACCAGGAGGGAAUAAUGGUUGACCCCGCCAAGAUCGAGGCUGUAAUGAAGUGGGAACGUCCAAAGAGUCCCACGGAGAUUCGAAGCUUUCUAGGAUUAGCCGGAUAUUAUCGACGAUUUAUCCAAGGCUUUUCUUCGAUAGCUGCUCCAUUAACAGCUUUGACUCAUAAAGGAGCUACGUAUACGUGGAGUGAGAAACACGAUGAGGCAUUCGAGAAGCUAAAGAAGAAGUUAUGUGAAGCACCGAUACUUUCUCUACCCGAUGGAGUUGAAGAUUUCGCGGUUUAUAGUGAUGCAUCUGGAGUCGGGUUGGGUUGUGUUCUGACCCAAAGAGAAAAGGUGAUAGCAUACGCAUCUCGACAAUUGAAAGAGCACGAAAAGAACUACCCCACUCAUGAUCUGGAGUUGGCAGCGGUAGUUUUUGCCUUAAAGAUAUGGAGGCAUUACCUCUACGGCACGAAGUGCAAGCUCUUCACUGAUCAUAAGAGUCUCCAGUAUCUCUUUAAUCAGAAGGAGUUGAACAUGAGGCAACGACGCUGGCUAGAACUUCUCAAGGACUACGACUGUGAGAUACUUUACCACCCAGGUAAAGCAAAUAUUGUUGCUGAUGCUCUCAGUCGGAAAGUCAAUCUUGAAAGAAAAAGGCCAAGAGCGUUAAGAAUUGAAGUCGUCUCGACGAUUGUGGAAAGUAUCAGGAAAGCUCAAGAAGAAGCCUUAGAAAAGAAUGACCGAAAGGAAGAACGUUUGGGAAAAACGUUAGUGUUCGGUACAAACAGUCGAGAACUGAAGGUAUUCCAAGAUCGAAUCUGGGUACCUAAUACGGGAGGAAUAAUAUAUCUUCUAAUGGAAGAAGCACACAAAACCAUGUACUCGAUUCAUCCCGGUAGCACUAAAAUGUAUAGGGACCUAAAACCCUACUACUGGUGGCCGACGAUGAAGCUCGAUGUUGUGAAGUACGUGGCCGAGUGCGUAACAUGUGUGAGGGUGAAGGCACAACAUCAAAAACCGUAUGGGAGUUUAGAACCCUUACCUGUACCCAUGGGUAAAUGGGAAGACAUCACCAUGGAUUUUGUGACUAAACUGCCCAGAACGAAGAACGGACACGACAUGAUUUGGGUAGUCGUGGAUCGUUUCACCAAGAGUGCAAAAUUCAUAGCCGCUAACGAGAAGUGGUCUAUGGAUAAGCUCGCAAACUCUUACAUGAAGGAAAUUGUAAGACUUCAUGGUGUCCCUCUUACGAUUGUGUCAGAUCGUGAUAGUCGUUUCACGUCGAGGUUUUGGAGGAGUCUACAAGAGGAGUUGGGUACAAAGUUGUGUUUGAGUACUGCUUACCAUCCGCAAAUUGNUGAUGGUCAGAGCGAAAGAACGAUUCAGACGUUGGAAGAUAUGCUGAGAGCACGUACCCUCGAAUUCCAAGGGAAUUGGGACGAGCACUUACCUCUAGUAGAAUUUUCCUACAACAAUAGUUUUCACUCGAGCAUCAAGAUGGCACCUUAUCAAGUCUUGUAUGGAAAGAAGGGUCGUACACCAUCUUGUUGGCUUGAAGCCGGGGAGAAGCAGUUUAUGGGCCCCNNNNNNNNNNNNNNNNNNNNNNNNNNNNNNNNNNNNNNNNNNNNNNNNNNNNNNNNNNNNNNNNNNNNNNNNNNNNNNNNNNNNNNNNNNNNNNNNNNNNUUAAUAGUUCAUUUAAGUACAAUUACAUGCAUACCACAAACUAUUGUCAUAUUAUACAAUUUUACAAGUAUAUAGGCAAAUUGACACGCACGAAUCGAGGAAUUAUCGUAGUAAGCAACAAGUCAAACCGUACCAAACCAUUACAAAAAUCGAACACAAGAAUUUAAAUACUAUAGGAGUAUUUGCUAUCUAAACUAGUUUAACUUACAUGUUUUACAUGUUCCGGCUUUAUUCAAAUUCUUAUAACCUUAAUUCUCGUAUAGUCCAAUGGCUGGAUUUCACCACCCUGGCGACCCCUACUUUCCCAACCAAGGCAACGGAGGAUGGAUCGAAGAUGAUCCCGAAGAGGACGAGGAACCCAUAGAAGUGGGUGAUGACUCCGGUACCGACUCAGAGCCGGAAGUUAUCGAUCCACCACCCAUUCAACCUCCCGUCUUCGUAAGGAACUUUCAAGGACCGACUCCCGUCUGGGGAAGUCACCUCCACCAUUGGAGCCAACAGCAAAACCUACGCCCUCCCUACGGCAUGUGCCGGGACUUCUAUGAUGUCCGCGGCGGAGGUUCGGCUGAUCGAGCACUCCCGGUAAUGGUGGGUAAGUUAGCCAAUCAGUCCUAUCAGUCUGGAGUACAAGCUAGUCGACUCCGGGAUAUCAACGUAGAAGUGCAGGUUCACACUUCUGACAUCCGUAAGUUGAACAAGAGGCAAGACAACGCUCAGUUCCAAACCGAAGCGUUUCAAGCGCAAAUUAUUGCAGCCCUCGCCGAACUAAGGGAACAACAAGCUGCUUUGGAUAGGCGUCUAAUGGAGUCGAAGCAAUCAGAUACGGAGUCAAGCUCCAAACGCAACUUUCGAUGCAAGUAGUGCUUGUCAAGAACUCAAAUUUUGUUAUAGCUUAGGACCUCGGCUAAAAGUCUUUAAAUUUCUUGAACUUGGUAAACGGAGAUCCUUAUAGGGGUCAAAUUUUCAUGAUCGUUGUAACAACUUUUAUAUUAAUAUAAGUGGCACUAUUACUACUAUGUUGAGUAUUUCGUUCGAACCUUGAAUGGUCCUUGGGAACCCAAAUACUUGUUUCAUACCUUCAGUCUUACAAAUAACUUUCAUUCUUCUAUUUUAAGACUCAUACUAUCUUUUGUUGUUGAAUUAUAGCGAUUUAAUUCAUGAGACACAUACAUUUUCCAUUUCAUGAAAUUCUUAUCAUUAUUUUCUUUCCAUCUAUAGUUGAAGGAUGCCUCCGCGUAGGAAUCCAAGGCAAAACAACAGUGAGGAAAUACCUNGGUGAGGAAGCACCUAUACCACCACCACCUCCACCACCCCAAUUUGAUGCUGUAAUGUUUCAAGCAGCAGUCACCGCAGCGGUGGCAGCCGCCAUGUCACAGAUCAAUAACUCAAGUGCAAAUGUCUCGGGAUCUGGCGCACACACGUCCAACCAUGGCGAGAGUCAUGGACCACCUCGAGAAUGCACCUAUAAGGACUUCACUAAUGCCAAGCCCCGGAUGUUUUAUGGUACUGGUGGUGUGAUGGCCCUGAGGCAGUGGAUUGAAAGGACGGAGGCAGUCUUUGAAAUCUGCUCCUGUCCCGAGCACAGCAAGGUCAAAUUUGCAACCUUCACCCUUCUCGAUAAAGCUUUAACUUGGUGGAAUGGCCACGUUAAAGUACUUACCCUAAUCGUGGCAAACUCCAUAAGCUGGGAGAGCUUGAAGGCCAUGAUGAUGAGAGAAUACUGCCCACGGGGAGAAAUUCAAAAGCUUGAACACGAGCUAUGGACUCUCGGAAUGGUGGGUACCGACAUCGCUACUUAUACCAACAGAUUCUGCGAACUGGCAAUCCUUUGUCCAGACAUGAUUGCUCCCGAGAGCAAGAAGAUAGAAAGGUACAUCUGGGGACUGACGCCCCAGAUGCGGUCAAGCGUGUUAGCUUCCAAACCUGACACCUUUGAAAGUGCUAAGGAACUGGCACAAUCUCUGAUCGACUACGGAGGUCAUCAGAACUCAACCACUUCUGCACCAGCACCACAGAAAGGAAACAACAACUACAACAACAAAAACAAUGGCAGGAAGAGAGCGUGGAUCAAAGGAAAGGGUGGAUCUUCCCAAGAAUCCGCAAAGAAACAACUUGUGACAGUAAAUGUUGCUAUUGUACCUGCUACAGUCCCUACGAAUACCUACCCAACAAAGCCUUAUGUAGGCAACCUCCCAAAAUGCACCAAGUGCAAUUUCCACCACCAUGGGCCUUGCCGAGAUAUGCAGUGCGCCAACUACAACAGGAAAGGACACACGGCUCGUUUCUGCAAAGAACCCGCAAAGCCGAUCAAUCAAAUUUCCGGUGCGGGUGUAGGGCAGGCUUGCUACGGUUGUGGCGAGGUGGGCCACUACAAGAGAAACUGUCCUAAGGCAGCAGGCACCGGAGGUGUGGGACGAGUUUUGGCAAUAGGCCACGACGAAGCUGUAGCUGACCCAACUAUAGUUGCUGGUACGUUUCUUCUCGAUAAUUCAUACGCAUGCAUAUUAUUCGAUAGUGGAGCGGAGAGAAGCUUCGUGAGUCAAAACUUUAUCCAUUUACUUAAACCUGAACCUAGCAAGUUAAAAGAAUCAUUCACUGUAGAGAUGGCCAAUGGAAAAACCGAAAGAACAAAUUGCAUAUACAUGGACUGUACGUUAACAUUGGACGGCCAUUCUUUCCCAAUCAAUCUCAUGCCGGUACAAAUUAAAAGUUUCGACGUCAUAGUCGGCAUGGAUUGGUUGAGUCUUCUUCGCGCCGACAUCAUGUGCUUUGAGAAAGCAGUCCGUCUUAACCUCCCUAACAACGAAACAUUAGUUAUCUACGGCGACAAAUCUAGUGCAAACCUUCGCAUCAUUUCGUGCAUCCAAGCUCGAAAGUGCUUGCGGAAGGAUUGUCGAGCAUUCCUAGCGCACAUCGUCGAUACAAGUCAAGAACUGAAGGACAUCAAGAGCAUCUCGGUAGUACGCGACUUUCCCGAUAUCUUUCCAGAAGAACUACCAGGAUUACCACCGCAACGCCAAGUCGAGUUUAGAAUCGACUUAAUUCCAGGAGCUACCCCAGUAGCGAAGUCGCCUUAUCGUCUUGCACCAGCAGAGAUGCAGGAACUUUCCAGUCAACUUAAUGAACUCCUUCACAAAGGAUUCAUAAGACCAAGUUUCUCACCUUGGGGAGCACCGGUCUUGUUUGUAAAGAAGAAAGACGGAUCGUUCCGUAUGUGCAUCGACUACAGAGAGCUGAACAAACUUACUGUCAAAAACCGCUAUCCUCUACCUCGUAUCGACGACCUAUUUGAUCAACUUCAAGGGGCGAACUACUUCUCAAAAAUAGACCUGCGAUCGGGAUAUCACGAAUUACGAGUUCUAGAGGGGGACAUUCCAAAGACAGCCUUCCGAACUCGUUAUGGACACUACGAAUUCGUGGUGAUGCCGUUCGGAUUAACCAAUGCACCAGCAGUAUUUAUGGACCUAAUGAAUAGGGUAUGCCGCCCUUACUUGGAUCAGUUCGUCAUCGUCUUUAUCGAUGAUAUACUUAUCUACUCUCGAAGUGAGAAAGAGCAUGGUCAACACCUACGAAAAGUCCUAGAAACACUGCGAAAGGAGAAACUCUACGCGAAGUUCUCUAAAUGCGAAUUUUGGAUUCGAAGAGUCGAAUUUUUAGGUCACGUUGUUAGCGAAAAGGGAAUACGCGUUGACCCCUCCAAAAUUAAGGCUAUUGAGAACUGGUCGACACCAAAGACACCUACUGAAAUUCGUCAAUUUCUAGGUCUAGCUGGCUACUAUCGCAGAUUCAUAAAGAACUUUUCGAGCAUUGCGAAACCUCUUACUUCAUUAACCCAGAAAGGUGUGGCCUUUGACUGGGAAGCGAAACAAGAGAAGGCAUUCCAGACACUAAAGCAGGCCUUGUGCACCGCACCGAUACUAUCCCUCCCCGAAGGGAUAGAAGACUUCGUAGUGUAUUGCGAUGCUUCAAAUCAAGGACUUGGUUGUGUUCUUAUGCAGAGAGGGAAGGUUAUCGCUUAUGCCUCCCGACAGCUUAAGACACACGAAGUGAACUAUACGACACACGACCUCGAGUUAGGAGCAGUGGUAUUUGCUCUGAAGAUCUGGAGGCACUACUUAUACGGAACAAAGAGUACUAUAUUCACCGAUCACAAGAGCCUUCAACACAUUUUCGAUCAGAAGGAACUCAACAUGCGACAACGACGAUGGGUUGAGUUACUGAAUGACUACGAAUGCGAAAUUCGUUAUCAUCCUGGCAAGGCCAACGUAGUAGCCGACGCCCUCAGUCGAAAGGAAUACACUGGUCGGAGGGUCAAAUCUCUGACCAUGACUAUCCAUUCCCACUUAUCCACACAAAUUAAGGAAGCACAAAUGGAAGCUUUGCAACCUGAAAAUGUGGCGGGUGAAUCCCUGCGAGGAAUGGAGAAGAAUUUAGAAGUCAAGGGUGGCGGAGCCUACUAUCUCAUGGACCGAAUCUGGACCCCAAAUCAUGGUGGUUUCAGAAACGUAGUCAUGACCGAGGCUCACAACUCAAGAUAUUCCGUUCACCCGGGUUCAGAUAAAAUGUAUCUGGAUCUUAAGAAACUGUACUGGUGGCCUAACAUGAAAGCAGAAAUUGCUACCUUCGUGAGUAAAUGUCUUACUUGCGCUAAGGUUAAGGUCGAGUAUCAGAAACCGUCAGGACUACUACAACAACCAGAGAUACCGGAAUGGAAAUGGGAGCGGAUUACUAUGGACUUCAUAACCAAGUUACCCAAGACGACAAGUGGACUCGAUACCAUAUGGGUCAUUGUCGACAGAUUGACCAAAUCCGCACAUUUCCUACCCAUCAAGGAGACUGACAAAAUGGAGAAGCUUACAAGAACUUACUUAAGGGAAGUAGUGCGACUGCAUGGUGUUCCGAUAUCCAUUAUCUCCGAUCGAGAUAGUAGAUUCACUUCAAGAUUCUGGCAGUCACUACAAAGUUCCCUGGGAACUAGGCUAGACAUGAGUACAGCCUACCACCCACAGACAGACGGACAAAGUGAGAGAACAAUACAAACUUUAGAAGACAUGCUGAGAGCCUGCGUGAUUGACUUUGGAAAGGCAUGGGAUAUUCAUUUACCCCUUGUCGAAUUUUCAUACAACAAUAGUUAUCAUACAAGCAUAAAGGCUGCUCCGUUUGAAGCCCUCUAUGGUCGAAAGUGCAGAUCCCCUCUGUGCUGGACUGAAGUUGGCGAUACCCAGUUAGCUAGAGGAAGAGUUCCUGAAAGCACUCUCACCGGUCCGGAGAUCAUACGUGAAACAACAGAGAAGAUCGUUCAGAUUCGUGAACGAUUGAAAGCCUCAAGAGACCGACAGAAAAGCUACGCUGACCAAAGGAGGAAACCUUUGGAAUUCCAGGUAGGAGACCACGUCUUAUUAAAGGUCUCACCGUGGAAGGGUUUAAUACGAUUUGGAAAGCGUGGGAAACUAAAUCCAAGAUACAUAGGGCCUUUCGAGAUUCUUGCCAGAAUCGGCCCUGUGGCUUACAAGCUUAACCUACCGCGCGAACUUAGUAACAUCCAUCCAACCUUCCACGUCUCAAACUUGAAAAAGUGUCUGUCCGACGAGACUCUUGUUAUUCCACUCGACGAGAUCGAGAUCAACGAGAGCCUCAACUUUGUGGAAGAACCAGUAGAAAUCAUGGACCGAGAGGUCAAACAAACAAAACAAAGUCGCAUACCCAUCGUGAAGGUUCGCUGGAACGCCAAGCGGGGACCCGAAUUCACAUGGGAACGCGAAGAUCAGAUGAAACAAAAGUACCCUCAUCUCUUUCAUGUUCACUAGUAUCUUUACUACUUUAAAUUUCGGGACGAAAUUCUCUCUAACGGGGGGAUGAUGUGACAACCCGAUAUUUCAACUCUUUGUAACGACCAAAAUGGGUCAAGUAUUGUAACCACUUCUGAAUAAUAAAAAGUUACUUUCAUAAUAAAAUGUAUAAAUAAGUUCUACUUAAUUUCCUUCUAUGAUUAAAUGUCUUUGAACCAUGAUCGUACGUGAAAAGAACGCCCAAAUCCGACUUCAUAUAGCGAAGUUAUGAUUUUUCCAAGUUCGGCUUAGCAACAGACAGCUAAAAACUCGAAUCGGAGAUCGAGCGACUUUUGGCCGGAAUGACCUAAACGAGAAUCGAAGGUCUCGACAAUGGUAUUCCAGCGGUAAAAAGUCUGGCAAAAACCGACAUCAGAUAAAGAAGUUAUGAAUUUUCAAAGAAAUUCCUUAAACACGAUGGGUUUUUAAUAAAUAAUAAAAAUAUAAUUUUGGAAUUUGCCGACGGAGUCUAAACGAAAGUUGUAGAGCGUAGUCUCACCUACGCGAGGAUAUAAAGACCAUCGAAAACGGAGUUCGUAUGAAGAAGAUAUGAAUUUUUGAAGUUUAUUAAAUAAAUUAAUUAUUUAUUUAAUUCAAAAUUCGGAUAUUAUCCGAAGGGGAGUCAGCAUCCUCCUCCGAGGUACGCGCUGCGUACCCCUGUACGCCCCGCGUAACCGAGAGGAUUGGCCUCUGAUCGUCCACGUCGCGCUAUCCGAAGAAACCGACCCAUCCGACCCGUCCGAAGCCCCGACCCGUCCGACCCGACGUCCCAUCCGACCCGGCGUCCCAUCCGACCCGCGUACCCAGCAACCCGUCCCAUCCGAACCGAGGCAGUCGAGGCUUCGGUCAUGCAUGACGUACGCGUACGCGCUGCGUACGAGCGUACGCCCCGCGUACCGAGGCAGACCAGCCUUACUAUAAAUAGGAUGCGAGGGUUUCCAAAGAAAGGGUUCAUUUCUCUUCUCUCUCUCUCAACUUUGCCUCGUUUUCCGUGUCCGUUCAAACCCGAAGCUCUGGUCUUUUUGGCUCAAGUCCCGAAGGUCGAUUUUACUCCCGAGAUUCCCGAGAAUCCCGAGGAAAAUCCGUUUCCCGAGACGAAACUCUGCCCGGUUUUCCAUCUCGCUAUCUCCAAAACUUUCAAGUGAGUUUCAUACCCCUUAAUCAACCUUUUUAAUUAUUCUAAAUACUUUUAUAUGCUUUCAAGGGGGGGAUUACAAGUAAAACACACGAGUAUUAUCGUGUGUUACAUAAAGAA